rnacentral:rRNA from 1 species
UGGGGAAUAUUGCACAAUGGGCGCAAGCCUGAUGCAGCCAUGCCGCGUGUGUAAAGAAGGCCUUCGGGUUGUAAAGCACUUUCAGCGGGGAGGAAGGCGUUAAGGUUAAUAACCUUGGCGAUUGACGUUACCCGCAGAAGAAGCACCGGCUAACUCCGUGCCAGCAGCCGCGGUAAUACGGAGGGUGCAAGCGUUAAUCGGAAUUACUGGGCGUAAAGCGCACGCAGGCGGUUUGUUAAGUCAGAUGUGAAAUCCCCGGGCUCAACCUGGGAACUGCAUCUGAUACUGGCAAGCUUGAGUCUCGUAGAGGGGGGUAGAAUUCCAGGUGUAGCGGUGAAAUGCGUAGAGAUCUGGAGGAAUACCGGUGGCGAAGGCGGCCCCCUGGACGAAGACUGACGCUCAGGUGCGAAAGCGUGGGGAGCAAACAGG